CACGUAGGCGGACUGGAAAGUUGGAGGUGAAAUCCCAGGGCUCAACCUUGGAACUGCCUUCAAAACUAUCAGUCUGGAGUUCGAGAGAGGUGAGUGGAAUACCGAGUGUAGAGGUGAAAUUCGUAGAUAUUCGGUGGGACACCAGUGGCGAAGGCGGCUCACUGGCUCGAUACUGACGCUGAGGUGCGAAAGCGUGGGGAGCAAACA
rnacentral:rRNA from 1 species